GGGUUGUGAGGUUAAGCGACUAAGCGUACACGGUGGAUGCCCUGGCAGUCAGAGGCGAUGAAGGACGUGCUAAUCUGCGAAAAGCGUCGGUAAGGUGAUAUGAACCGUUAUAACCGGCGAUGUCCGAAUGGGGAAACCCAGUGCAAUUCGUUGCACUAUCGUUAACUGAAUACAUAGGUUAACGAGGCGAACCGGGGGAACUGAAACAUCUAAGUACCCCGAGGAAAAGAAAUCAACCGAGAUUCCCCCAGUAGCGGCGAGCGAACGGGGAGCAGCCCAGAGUCUGAAUCAGCUUGUGUGUUAGUGGAACGGUCUGGAAAGUCCGACGGUACAGGGUGAUAGUCCCGUACACCAAAAUGCACAGGUUGUGAACUCGAAGAGUAGGGCGGGACACGUGGUAUCCUGUCUGAAUAUGGGGGGACCAUCCUCCAAGGCUAAAUACUCCUGACUGACCGAUAGUGAACCAGUACCGUGAGGGAAAGGCGAAAAGAACCCCGGCGAGGGGAGUGAAAAAGAACCUGAAACCGUGUACGUACAAGCAGUGGGAGCACCUUCGGGUGUGACUGCGUACCUUUUGUAUAAUGGGUCAGCGACUUAUAUUCUGUAGCAAGGUUAACCGUAUAGGGGAGCCGCAGGGAAACCGAGUCUUAACUGGGCGUUAAGUUGCAGGGUAUAGACCCGAAACCCGGUGAUCUAGCCAUGGGCAGGUUGAAGGUUGGGUAACACUAACUGGAGGACCGAACCGACUAAUGUUGAAAAAUUAGCGGAUGACUUGUGGCUGGGGGUGAAAGGCCAAUCAAACCGGGAGAUAGCUGGUUCUCCCCGAAAGCUAUUUAGGUAGCGCCUCGUGAACUCAUCUUCGGGGGUAGAGCACUGUUUCGGCUAGGGGGUCAUCCCGACUUACCAACCCGAUGCAAACUACGAAUACCGAAGAAUGUUAUCACGGGAGACACACGGCGGGUGCUAACGUCCGUCGUGAAGAGGGAAACAACCCAGACCGCCAGCUAAGGUCCCAAAGUCAUGGUUAAGUGGGAAACGAUGUGGGAAGGCACAGACAGCCAGGAUGUUGGCUUAGAAGCAGCCAUCAUUUAAAGAAAGCGUAAUAGCUCACUGGUCGAGUCGGCCUGCGCGGAAGAUGUAACGGGGCUAAACCAUGCACCGAAGCUGCGGCAGCGACACUAUGUGUUGUUGGGUAGGGGAGCGUUCUGUAAGCCUGCGAAGGUGACCUGUGAGGGUUGCUGGAGGUAUCAGAAGUGCGAAUGCUGACAUAAGUAACGAUAAAGCGGGUGAAAAGCCCGCUCGCCGGAAGACCAAGGGUUCCUGUCCAACGUUAAUCGGGGCAGGGUGAGUCGACCCCUAAGGCGAGGCCGAAAGGCGUAGUCGAUGGGAAACAGGUUAAUAUUCCUGUACUUGGUGUUACUGCGAAGGGGGGACGGAGAAGGCUAUGUUAGCCGGGCGACGGUUGUCCCGGUUUAAGCAUGUAGGCUGGUUGUCCAGGCAAAUCCGGAUAAUCAAGGCUGAGGUGUGAUGACGAGGCACUACGGUGCUGAAGUAACAAAUGCCCUGCUUCCAGGAAAAGCCUCUAAGCAUCAGGUAACAUUAAAUCGUACCCCAAACCGACACAGGUGGUCAGGUAGAGAAUACCAAGGCGCUUGAGAGAACUCGGGUGAAGGAACUAGGCAAAAUGGUGCCGUAACUUCGGGAGAAGGCACGCUGGUGUGUAGGUGAAGUCCCUGCGGAUGGAGCUGAGACCAGUCGAAGAUACCAGCUGGCUGCAACUGUUUAUUAAAAACACAGCACUGUGCAAACACGAAAGUGGACGUAUACGGUGUGACGCCUGCCCGGUGCCGGAAGGUUAAUUGAUGGGGUUAUCCGUAAGGAGAAGCUCUUGAUCGAAGCCCCGGUAAACGGCGGCCGUAACUAUAACGGUCCUAAGGUAGCGAAAUUCCUUGUCGGGUAAGUUCCGACCUGCACGAAUGGCGUAAUGAUGGCCAGGCUGUCUCCACCCGAGACUCAGUGAAAUUGAACUCGCUGUGAAGAUGCAGUGUACCCGCGGCAAGACGGAAAGACCCCGUGAACCUUUACUAUAGCUUGACACUGAACAUUGAGCCUUGAUGUGUAGGAUAGGUGGGAGGCUUUGAAGCGUGGACGCCAGUCUGCGUGGAGCCAACCUUGAAAUACCACCCUUUAAUGUUUGAUGUUCUAACGUUGGCCCCUGACCGGGGUUGCGGACAGUGUCUGGUGGGUAGUUUGACUGGGGCGGUCUCCUCCCAAAGCGUAACGGAGGAGCACGAAGGUUAGCUAAUCCUGGUCGGACAUCAGGAGGUUAGUGCAAUGGCAUAAGCUAGCUUGACUGCGAGCGUGACGGCGCGAGCAGGUGCGAAAGCAGGUCAUAGUGAUCCGGUGGUUCUGAAUGGAAGGGCCAUCGCUCAACGGAUAAAAGGUACUCCGGGGAUAACAGGCUGAUACCGCCCAAGAGUUCAUAUCGACGGCGGUGUUUGGCACCUCGAUGUCGGCUCAUCACAUCCUGGGGCUGAAGUAGGUCCCAAGGGUAUGGCUGUUCGCCAUUUAAAGUGGUACGCGAGCUGGGUUUAGAACGUCGUGAGACAGUUCGGUCCCUAUCUGCCGUGGGCGCUGGAGAAUUGAGGGGGGCUGCUCCUAGUACGAGAGGACCGGAGUGGACGCAUCACUGGUGUUCGGGUUGUCAUGCCAAUGGCACUGCCCGGUAGCUAAAUGCGGAAGAGAUAAGUGCUGAAAGCAUCUAAGCACGAAACUUGCCCCGAGAUGAGUUCUCCCUGAGACUAUAAGUCUCCUGAAGGAACGUUAAAGACGAUGACGUUGAUAGGCCGGGUGUGUAAGCGCAGCGAUGCGUUGAGCUAACCGGUACUAAUGAACCGUGAGGCUUAACCUUACAACGCCGAAG
rnacentral:rRNA from 1 species